GGAUUUUAAAGGAAAAUUGGCAGAGGUAAAGAAGACAAAUUAUGGUGCAAAAAGUAGAAAUAUCACAAGUUAACAGUCAAUAAUGGAAGUGACUCCAGCCAGUAACUCAAUAAGUCGUGAGCUUGCAAGGUAUGUCACAGAAAGGCGGGUUUAUGGACCUGCUGCAGAUUUACCCAGUCUUGCUUAAACCAGAACUUAUGAUCUACAACAUGAUUCUACAGCUGCCAAUGAACUUCGGUAGAAGAGCUGGAGGGGAAUGGGGUGAGCAGAUUGCAGUACAGUCAAACCUGUCUAUAAAGACCACCCUUGGAAGAGCCAAAAUGUGGUCUUUAUUGGGAGGUGGUCAUUAUUCACAGGUUAAAAUAUAUUGUGAAUGUUCAAAUGGGAAACAAAACAUGUGUUCUUUAGAGCCAGAUGGUCUCUGUUCAGAGGUGGUCUUUAAAACAGGUUUGACUGUAUACACAUCAGUGGAAGUGGAACAGGCAGAUUUCAAUACAUACUACAUCAGUGGGAAAAGCGCAAUGAAGUUCAGCUGUUUCCAGCUUGAAACACAUGAGGUUGAAGUUGCAAGUAGAGACUGACAAUGACUGGACAGAAAAUGAUGAUGGUGAAGAACUAUAGAAAACUGUGGAAAACUUUUAAUAGUGGCCAUCAACAAGCAGUCAUUGAUCCAGUAUUCCAGCCAAUGUAUCCGUCUUCACACAAGAAGCAAUACCAGGAAAUAUGUGACAUUCAUCAGCCAGGUAGUCAUUUACUCCAAGUGGCAAAGUUAGAGACCCAUACCCAUUCUUGGAAAAGGAGUGGAUUGUUUUGUGCUGCGGACACCACAGAAUAGUGGAUUUGAAAGUUUAACUUUUCAAUAUGGGAAGAUGUCACACAAAGCCGCAUACCACAACAUAUCGCUGUAGCACAGAUAUCUAUGUCACACCUAAAAGGGAAAUUUCACCAGAGGCACAUAGGAUCACCAGGAUUUCAUGCAAUAUUCAGACACAAUGAUGGUAAAAAGCACGAUAGUCCAACACAUCUGUACCUGGAAUUAAGUUGACUGUAGAGAAAUUGUGUACUUGACUUGAAAAGAUCUUACAGUGAUUUUAGUAGCCUGUUAUAGAAGACAAUUUGAUUUUCCAGUUCUUGUCUCAGCUCUGCUGUGCACAAGUAUAACUAGGACAUUAUUCAGCUGAGUUUCUUCUAAAAAGUAUUUACCAGUGUUCAAGAAACUACCCUAGACAGUCAUACUUGCUAUGACUUGUGACUUGGUAUCCGGUAUAAUGCCUAUAACUGACAGACAAAUUUAUUAUGAAAAGCUGGGAAGGCCUGCCAAGGGUUUUCAUAUGUUAAAGAAAAAUUUCAAGCAAUGAUGUAUACUGAUGAUAAAUUUGGUGCAAUAAUGUUCAUUAUGUUAAGAAGAAUCUGACAGAUGUUAUUAGAAAUUCGAAUUGUGUUAUUUUACUCUAUAUUUAAGAAAAUUGAUAUAUUAAAACUUGUAAAUUUUAUCAUUUGUUAAGAUGUUACAUUAUAGCUUGAAGCCUUAAUGCACUCUUUCUACAAUCUGCCUGAAGAAACACUUCAAUUGUUUUUGUGUAUUAGUUUUUUUAGCCAUUUCCUGGAUUAAAAAUACACAAACUUCUAGCUCAAGACUUCCUAAGGUUUGACAAGUAACUUUCUUUGAUUUUGCUCAAGUUUGUUAAUUAUUGUUAAAAUACUCUUGUUCAAAAUUUUAAAAGGUGCAAAACCUUUAGCCUGCUUGUAGUAAUUGAUUCUGCCUUUGCGACCAGUGCAGACCAAGAUCAGCCUGUACAUCUGUGUAGUCUGAUCAUCAGGUCAGCUUGCUAUUCAGUAAGUAAAUUUUUAGUGAUAACCACUUCAGAUAAUAAAUGGUACUGCCAAAUUUGAAUGAUAAGAUCAGUCCAUUUCAGAAAUUUAGCAGGUUAAAGGUUAAAUAAUAUCCUUCAGCAACAGAUGUUAUCUUUAAAUAGUAAAGUAAGGAGAAGACAACCUUUACUGUAAGCUAAUAUAGCUUUCUGUCCAAUGCCUGAAAUGUUUUUUGAAAUAUUUCAUGACUUUCUGAAUAAUAACGUUUAAAUUAAAAUUAUAUAAGUACAUAAACCCCAAACUUUUAAGGAGCAAGAAGACAAAAUUUCAACUUUUGUAUAAAAUUAACUUUGUGAUAUUUUUCUUAGUGAUAAGUUUCUCAGUGAUAACUAGACAUUUAAUUUUAUAUCUGUGUAGAUUUUUGUACAGUUAAUUCAGGUGUAUACAAGACAAUAAUUAGAAAGAUUUUUUUAUGUUUUAAGCUUAACCUAAUUAUUUAUGUUAGAGAAAAAUGUUAAAUUUUAAUUACUUUAUAAGUAUAUGUGUAAAUCCUAUUUCAUUAUUCAGGGCGGCGUCGAGUAUAUGGGAUACACUAGCUUUUAUUUCGGACCCUGUAAAGAUGGUAAUGAAUAGUUUUGGAGUGAUAAAUUGAAUACAGUGAAUAGUUUGUAAAAGGAUCAACGAUAUUGCACAAUACAUUUUAGUAAAUAAACAAAAAAAUGGCAAAAAGAAAACAUAAAAAAUGUAUGUAAUGCAACUUAUUAUGUGAUUUAAAACAAUGCUAUCUGUCUUUCCUCUCCUUAUUUGUAGAGCAGAACAUAUUUUUUAGUUUUCAACUGUCCGUCCGUCCGUUCGUUAGUUCAUUCGUUAGUCACAACGUUAACUUUUUGCAUGAAAGCACUUUACUCGCGAACCACUGCACCCAGGACCUUCAAACUUCACAUGCUGAUAGUAUUUAUUGAGUACACCACCCCUACUGACUUUGGGGUCACCAGGUCAAAGGUGCUGCGGGGGCAUUUGUCACCAUUAGUGACAGCUCUUGUUUUAUUUACAAUUUUGUCAAAAAUGUUGAUCCGAUUUAUUGAUAAGGGAGGUUACUCUGUAUGUCAAGUUUUCUAUUUCUAUUCUUAGCAUGACCUACUUUCCUAUCUCGUUUUCUAUAACACUCCGCAGAUAUACCAUACUGCAACGCAUGAAUAGCCUUGACAAGGGAGCGUUUGUGUAUUUUACAAUAAUCUUGCAGUAAACUUCGAAGAGAAUAUUAAAAAAAAUUAUGGAAAAUUACAAUUUGCCUGCAUAAAAAUUCCUUGAAAAAAAACAACGUAUUUACAAAGUAAAUAAAGGAAUCAAUAAGCAUAGAUAGAUCUAUGUUAAAAUGAACGAAGGAAGUGCCGCUGUUAACUUAUUUUUAACCUUUUGUCUUAUUUUCUUUGUUGAUAGGUACAGUGAUGUAAUUUCAGAAUGCGCACAUUUUUGUAAAUUCCUAUUUCUAUUUGUUUUUUUUUUGUUUGUUUGGUUUUUUAUUCUUUUUUCUUUCUUUUUUUUUUGCUUAUGUGUCAUAUAGAUCUACUCAUUGUUUACAGAUAUACACUGUCAACUAAGGUAUGCAGUAGGCUAAAGAGCAUUUGGCAGAAUUUGUCAGUGACAAGUUAAUACUUCUUUAACUGUGGUUAGAUCGAAAUAUCAAAAGUCAUGGGACCAUAACUUAUCAAAGCAUCAGUGACUUUAAAAUAGAAUUCCUUGUUGAAUUUAUAUGUUCAGUGAUCUUAUAUGACUAGUCAGUUGCUCUGGUUUUAUUAUAUCUUGUUACUUGCAUCUUUUUUUUUUCUUUUUUCUUUUUAAUUUAAUAGAUAGUUUUUGUUAAAAAAACAAAAACAAAAAAAAACAACAUUUUCAUUGAAAUAUUUUCUACACUUUGGCAGUGGGUUAUUAUGCUUGCUAAAUUUCUUGUAAUAUUAGAUUUGAAUCUAGACACUGACAUACUCCUAGUAACCUUACAGUUCAACGAGGACUUCAAGUUUAUUGUUCUUCCGAAAAAAAAUGAAUUCUAUGAUAUUCGAAAGUAUAUUAAGAAAGAUUAAUGCUUUGUGGAUAGGGGAAAUAUAGAGAUUAUUUAUGUUAUAUCAUUCUUUUCUUGGACAAAAUUUUUGGUUGUUUUUGGCAACGGAAACAGUAAAUUGCUGUGUAUAAUCUGCAUUCUGAAAUCUAUAAUGUAGGUGACUAAGGUCCAUAAAACUUCAUCAGUAAAUAGAAAACACUCAUUACAUUACAUGAUAAUAAAAAUAAUGGUUUCUGUGAACCACAACUUUGAAAUUAUUUCAACAUUUCCUCAUUUCACAACACACUGCAUUUCUGUGAAACUUCAUACACACGCUCCUGCAUAUAAGAAUUUUCACAGGAGGUGACCUUAGUUAGUGAAAUAAUUACUUUAAUUUUGUAUGUAAAGGGACCACCUACUUGCAAUGUUAAUGUCAUUGCAGGUAGAUCGAGGAUUUGUAUUGCAUGGUAAAACUUUUCUAUCAUGUUCAUUCUUCAUGUUUUAAACAGUUUAUAACAUAAUUGUUUUAUGUGCUAAUGUUGAUAACUUGUAGCCAGUCAGACUAAUAAAGAAAUGAGUAGGUGAUUUCUUAUAUUGCAAUAAAUGUACUUCAGACACAACACUUGCGGCGUCUUUGAUGCUUGCAUCAAUGAAUUUCCUUGUACUUACAUAUUAUUGAAAGCUGAGGGACUCCAUUGGAAAUAAGUGACCUGUUACUUUCAUGGUUUAUCCCAAGCAGAAAGAUCAUUUUUUCCUGAUAUUUAUGUACAUGUAUUAGCUUGAUUACACGUGUAAAGUACAAACAAAAUUAUAAGGGUUUACUGCAUAUUAAUUAAUUCUAAUAUUUUUGAUUUCUGUACCACUUUGUAUUUUUGUUAUAAUUGGAUCUUAUGCCUGAAUAAAAUUGAAUUGAAUUGAACUGAAUUAGAUUUUAAACUGAAACUGAAUGUAACUGAAAUGAAUUUUAAACUGAACUGAACUGAAUUCUAAACUGAACUAAACUGAAACUGAACUGAACUGAACUGAACUGAACUGAACUGAAUAUUUAUUAGCUGGGUAAAAAACUACAGUACAUCUUGCAAAAAGAGACCACCAGAGGGAAGGAAAAAACAUGUUCUAUUUAUGCAACAUAUUUUGUUCUUUGAUAACAUAAAAAAGGGAACUGAAAAAGUGAUCUUUUAAUGCAAUAGUCUAUAAAUCAAAUGUACUUGAUGAAACUUAUUAUGCUUUUGUGCUGCAAAUUUUGUAAUGUAGUUUUGUUGUGUCUAUGAUGAUUUCUCUAAAUAAACUUGAAACAUUA